AACGAACGCUGGCGGCAUGCCUAACACAUGCAAGUCGAACGAGAUCUUCGGGUCUAGUGGCGCACGGGUGCGUAACGCGUGGGAAUCUGCCCUUUGGUUCGGAAUAACAGUGGAAACGACUGCUAAUACCGGAUGAUGACGACAGUCCAAAGAUUUAUCGCCAGAGGAGGAGCCCGCGUAGGUUUAGCUAGUUGGUGCGGUAAAGGCGCACCAAGGCGACGAUCCUUAGCUGGUCUGAGAGGAUAAUCAGCCACACUGGGACUGAGACACGGCCCAGACUCCUAGGGGAGGCAGCAGUGGGGAAUAUUGGACAAUGGGCGAAAGCCUGAUCCAGCAAUGCGGCGUGAGUGAUGAAGGCCUUAGGGGUGUAAAGCUCUUUUACCCGGGAUGAUAAUGACAGUACCGGGAGAAUAAGCUCCGGCUAACUCCGUGCCAGCCGCCGCAGUAA
rnacentral:rRNA from 1 species